rnacentral:lncRNA from 1 species
AUUCAAUGGUCCACAGUAAUGGCUUCUGUCAAUAAUUACACCUUAUGCUGCUACUGUCUGCAGGAAUUGGCAUUAUGAGAAGUUAUAAAGAAGAAGAAAUUUGCUUCCCUAAAAGAGUUUAUAAUCUGGCUUGCCAAUGGAAUGUAUUAUCAAACUUUUGGGUUUCUGUCCAUCUGACAGAAGAUUAAAAACUAAGAAGAACAGCAAGAGGAAGAAAUAAAAGCAGCAUAAUGUGUUAUCAAUUUAAAGCUUUCACUUAGGAUGUACAAAGCUAGGAAAAAGACAUCUCUCUCAAACUAACAAGAAAAGACUGACCAAUGUACAAAUCAUAACUUUCCUUGGACUUCCUGGAGCUAAAUUCACAGGGAAACAAACCAACCUGGAACCUAAGGAGAAACAAAUGCCUCUAAGGAGAUAUACGAUCUGAGCACUGACUUACUUUGGUAGGACACUAAAAUAACAUAGGAGAAAUUAGUAAGAGGAAUCCAGCUAAAGUUUUAACAAACUACUAAAGUCCAAAUGUGGGCUACUGUAAAAAUAUAAAAACCCUGUGAACCACAGAUUCAUAGGGAAUUUAUACAAAUGACCUUUAUUGAGUGCUCAAAAGAUAGACCGGGGCAGAGAGGGAGACUGGAGAAAGCUUCCCUCUAUGGUAUAGGCUCAGAAGAGGCAAGUGGUCACCGCUGCAGGAACACCCUGAUCCUUCCCUUGACAGAACACAAGCCUUAAGCCACUCAGAGAAAGGCAACAAACUAUCCUAGAUCUAUAACAUUAGAGAUCUCCUAAGGGCUAGCAAGCAGCAGAAUCACUAAGAAAUUCCCACCCACAAGCCUCAGGUACACAAGGGCCUACGUAAGGCUCAAGUCAAACCAGGACAAUACCAUAUCUACCUUGGUACCCACUACCAGACUAGCAAGCAUCAAGCAACAAGAAAAAAAACAGUCUACUACUGAGCCAGGGACAUGAAAGAAACAUUCUCCGUGGUACAAGUACACAAGGAAGACUUAAACCCAAGGGUGCAGUAGUAGCACUGAUAAAAAUUACUCUGGCUGGCAGGGUGUGGUGGCUCAUGCUUGUAAUCCUAGCACUUUGGGACGCUGAGGCAGGUAGAUCACUUGAGGUCAGGAGUUUUGAGACCAGCUAACAUGGUGAGACUCUCAACUGUACUAAAAAUACAAAAGUUAUCCGGGUGUGUGGUAUAUGCCUGUAAUCCCAGCUACUUAGGAAGCUGAGGCACGAGAACCCCUUGAACCUGGGAGGUGGCGGAGGCUGCAGUGAGCUGAGAUCCCAUCACUGCACUCCAGCCUGGGUGAUGGAGUGAGUCUCGGUCUCAAAAAAAAAAAAAAAAA